rnacentral:rRNA from 1 species
CCUACGGGAGGCUGCAGUGGGGAAUAUUGCACAAUGGGGGGAACCCUGAUGCAGCAACGCCGCGUGGGUGAAGAAGUACUUCGGUAUGUAAAGCCCUGUCAGCAGGGAAGAAAAUGACGGUAACUGACCAAGAAGCCCCCGCUAACUACGUGCCAGCCGCCGCGGUAAUACGUAGGGGGCAAGCGUUAUCCGGAUUUACUGGGUGUAAAGGGAGCGUAGACGGCAAGGCAAGUCUGGAGUGAAAGCCCGUGGCUCAACCACGGGACUGCUUUUGAAACUGUGUUGCUGGAGUGCAGGAGGGGUAAGCGGAAUUCCUAGUGUAGCGGUGAAAUGCGUAGAUAUUAGGAGGAACACCGGUGGCGAAGGCGGCUUACUGGACUGUAACUGACGUUGAGGCUCGAAGGCGUGGGGAGCAAACAGGAUUAGAUACCCCAGUAGUC